AUUUCUUAAUAUCAUUAAAUAUCUUGUCAUUUCCAAAUUUGAAGUUUCCAAUGGUCUCACAAUGUCCUAACCUUUUCUUUCUUUGUUUUUAUUAUUUUUUUACAGUGUCUUUGAAUAAGGAUCUACAUAAGAUCGUCACAGUGUGUUUGUGCUUUGCCUCUUUAAGCCUCAAUUUCCUCAUCUAACUGUAACUCCCUUAUUACAGCCUUAACUUCAGAAGGAUGAGGCAGUGAAGAUCAUAAAUGAAAAAAAGCAACUGUCUCAGGAUUAGGCAAGUAGUCACUUGCUCAGAGUUUGGAAAGAUUCACACAGUUCUUUCCCUUGGGUUCAAGUCACCUGUUGUCAUAUCCACAGCAUCCACUGUGUCCUCUGUAGGGGAGGGAUCAGGAGUGGAUCCUCUGCCCUGUUCAAAUUGCCCCUCCUCUGUUCUGCAAAGGUCAUGGUGACCUUGUUUUCAACACUUGCUGCUGCCCAGGCAGGUGCCCUCUCUCAGUGUGCCUGGGAGCCCCUUAUCUCCACUCUCUCUCCCUUCACCACCUGCAAGCCCUGUGGUCUCUUUAACCACCCAUCCUGGUUUCUCCCACUGGGGCCUUCCCCUCUCCCCUGCAUCUGGUCCUGGUUGUCAAUCAUUGAGUGCCAUUUUGUUUUCUCUUCGAUGGAGCCAGAGAUGAUUUCAAAUGCGUGAACAUGAAGGAGGAGGUGAAGGAAAAUAGCCCUGAAGUACAACCUCAAGGUCAAGCACCCAUGAGACAUUCAGACUUUUAACACAGCCCAGGACUGAGUUCUAGAAGGAGAUUGCUGGUUCAACAGGUAUCUGGACUCUGAUGCUCUCACCAGCAGGUGCUCAAGGAACGCUCUUUCCAGUUGAUACGAUUGUCAUUAAGAAACAAAGUAACUUCUAAAUCAGAUUUUUAUGGUUUCAGGU